rnacentral:rRNA from 1 species
AUACGUAGGGAGCGAGCGUUGUCCGGAAUUACUGGGCGUAAAGGGCGCGUAGGCGGCGCUUCAAGUCGUCUGUCAAAUGGGAGGGCUUAACCCUUUUUCGCAGACGAAACUGGAGAGCUUGAGAAGCAGAGAGGCAAACAGAAUUCCUGGUGUAGCGGUGAAAUGCGUAGAUAUCAGGAAGAAUACCAGUGGCGAAGGCGGUUUGCUGGCUGCAUACUGACGCUGAAGCGCGAAAGCCAGGGGAGCAAACGGGAUUAGAUACCCCGGUAGUCCUGGCAGUAAACGAUGUAUGCUGGGUGUGAGACUAGCGAUAGUUUCGUGCCGAAGUUAACGCGAUAAGCAUACCGCCCGGGGAGUACGGUCGCAAGAUUGAAACUCAAAUGAAUUGACGGGG